GGUUCUAAGGUGUAUAACAUAUUUAAUUGCAAAUUAAAAGUCGUCCAGAAGGACUAGAACCU
rnacentral:tRNA from 1 species